UUCUUUGCCAUCCUAUUCCGUGCUGUGAGGAACAGCCCCCUUGUACAUGCCCCUAUAUCCACAUCUUUCCUACUCCAGCCCUCGAGGUCCACAGUCCACAGUGACUCAAGAAACGAGGGCCAUUAUUAGUAGUGGUGUGACAGACAAGGCCAUUAGCACAGGAUUUGGGUCUAGAAGACAUGUUUCCUGGCUGUGUCACCUUGAGCCUCCAUUUCCCUGUAGGAAGUAGGGAUGAUCACAUUUUUGGAGAACUGCUGAGGAUGAAAUGAUAGGGUAGAACCCAGUGCUUUGCAAAGCAGGAUGUCUGGCUAGGUUAGCUAUUUUCUGUUAUCUGUGGGGGUGGAGAAAGCCUGAGAGUCUAGGGGAGGAGAAGCAGAGGAAGGGAGGAGAGCAGCAGGCUCCAGGAGGUGGCAGUGAGGCCCAUGAGAGGCUUUGGUGUGCCAGUGGCUCCAGGCUCCAGGUCCUCCAGGCAUCACAGCAAUGGUUUUUGCUUCUAGGGAUGUGCAGACUCUAUACUCUGGUAUAGAGUCAGGUGAUCUACAUAGGCCAAACUUUGCUCACUGACUGUGUGGUCACAGGUAAGAGCUCCCGAGCAGCAGUUAUCAACCCUGGCUGCACCUCAGAAUCUGGUGCCGAGUGUUACCAGGUACCAACCUGGGGCCCUGCAUCUCACCACCUGCAUCUGACUCUCCACGGUGGGACCUAAGCCUGGAACUGCAAUUUUGAAAGCCUCUGUCCUCCAACCUUGUGUGAUUCUUGGACAUUUUUUUUUUUUCUUCUGUCAGUUCAUCCCAAUGACCACAAGAUGGUGCCCUCUUUCUGGGAAAUCUUUGAUGUCCAACAAACAACAAUCCAUUUUCUCUAUGAAUCCUGAAAGAAUGGGUUGUCUUUGCAGCAUCUCAUUAAGCCAGAAUUCUGUGCCCUUGGUGUCUAGCCAUGUGAUGCGCAUCUCGUUCCUUCUGCUAGAAACUAUUGGGUUGGGAUAUGCUGUCUCCUGCUUUGCAUUCAAGCAGCCAUGAUGCCAAGCGGAUGAGGCAUUUAUUGCUGCUUUCUGAUCAUAAUUUUUACUAUCAAUAACAACUAAUAUUUAAUCCUUUACCAUUUGCAAAAUGCUUUCCACCAACUAUCCUCAGAAUAACUUUAUGAAAUGAGUAUUAUUGUUUUCAUUUAUGGAUGAAAAAAAUAAAAGCUCAGAGCACUAAAUCAAGGUCACAAAGCAAAAGUUGGCAGAACCAGAUCCAGAGCCCUUCUCAUUGUACUUGGAAAAGAAGAGCAGGUGCAUCAGAGAAAUCAGGUUUCAACUGUUGGGCUCCUGACAAGUACAGCCCUGAGAGAGGAAACUUCUCAGGACAACCUCCGGAAGACUUCCUGAGCCAGCACAAAAGAUGGACAGAUGUCCUCUUGGAGUGUCACACCAUCACAGGUUACAAACAGGAAAAUGAACUGCUAUGCCAAUGGGAAAAAUGAAUCUGCCUUGAAGAAAAACUUAUAAACUCAUCUCCAAAGAAAAUCCUUAUCUACCAGCAAGUGAUUUCUUAGAAGGCUAGUGGAUCUAAUGAAAGUCACUUAUAAGAUCAAGAUCACAGACUUACCACCAGACAGAGUCCCACAGUCAAUCAGGAAUCCAAACACCAGGCCCCAGGACCCUAAUCCCUCUGGGUGUUUUUAAUCCCAGAUGAAGAGGCUGCAAAUGCAGGUUCAAGUUACUCAGAGUAGGAAGAACAUUUUCAGGACAGAGGCAAUUACAUGAAACUGCAUGUCUGCUGUAUAUCAAGUCCUGCCUGCCAAAUAUGAACUCUGAGUGAAAAACAU